AUUGAACGCUGGCGGCAGGCCUAACACAUGCAAGUCGAGCGAGCGGCGGACGGGUGAGAAAUGUCUGGGAACCUGCCUGAUGGAGGGGGAUAACUCCUGGAAACGGUAGUUAAUACCGCAUAGCAUCAGCUGUGCCCAGAUGGGAUUAGCUAGUAGGUGGGGUAACGGCUCACCUAGGCGACGAUCCCUAGCGGGUCUGAGAGGAUGACCAGCCACACUGGAACUGAGACACGGUCCAGACUCCUACGGGAGGCAGCAGUGGGGAAUAUUGCGCAAUGGGCGAAAGCCUGAUGCAGCAACGCCGCGUGUGUGAAGAAGGCCUUCGGGUCGUAAAGCACUUUCAUCGAGGAGGCGGUACCCGCAGAAGAAGCACCGGCUAACUCCGUGCCAGCAGCCGCGGUAAUAC
rnacentral:rRNA from 1 species